rnacentral:tRNA from 1 species
ACUAUUUUGGCAGAUAAGUGCGUUGGAUUUAGAAUCUAUUAAUGUAAAAUUAAUUUUACAGGUAGUA